UGUGUGUGCGUGCGUGUGCGUGUGUGUGUGCAUGUGCACGUGUGUGU
rnacentral:miRNA from 1 species